UAGGAAUGAUUUCUUGAAAAUUUGAAAUGAUCGAUCUAUAAGUAAAUUAAUUGUUUGCAUUGCUUAAAACUUACUAAGCAUUGAAGCUUACUCCGUGUUCUCUUUUCCAUUCCUUAUAGGUUUAUCCUUUAGUUCGAGUUGGAAGAGCUGGAGAUGUCAUCACACUAUCGAGUCAUUAUGGUCCAAGUAAACACAAUGAAGGAAGGUUGAUAGUCCAUAAAGAAAUACACGACUUUACUUCAACGUCUGAGGAUUCAAGCUAACAAAGAUUAUUCGAGAGCUGUCAUGUCUUAAAGAAGCUAACAAGCAUUGCGGGGAUAAGUGAGCAAUGAGCCGCAGUCCAGAUCGAGCAGAAAGGAAAUAAUAGAGACAUCUUUUGGAAAAUUCAUAAGACUCAACCAUAACAUUCAAAUAUUAAGAGGAGGAUAGGUGUCUUUACCUAGAAGAUGAGGGCAAGGCUGCACAUGUAAUGGAGUAAUACAAAGCUUUGUUUCAUUGCCCGAGGAUUCAAGUCGACAAAGAUUAUUCGAGAGCCGUCACGUCUCGAUUUUCUUAAAGGAGCUGACGAGUAGCGCGGGGAUACAUGAUCAAUAAAUAGCGGCCUAGAUCAAGUAAAAAGGAGUUAAUAGGGACAUCUUUCGGAGAAUUAGCAAAACUCAACCACAACAUCUGGAUAUGAAGAGGAAGAUAGGUGUCUUCGCUUGGAAUAGGAGAGAAAGGCUGCAUAUGUAAUCCAUUUUAUGUAUGGGAAUUUGUUUUCUAGAAAAGUUAUUCUAAUGGGAUUGAAUUCAGAAUCAA